rnacentral:rRNA from 1 species
UACGGAGGGUGCGAGCGUUGUCCGGAAUCACUGGGCGUAAAGGGCGCGUAGGCGGCCCGGUAAGUAGGAGGUGAAAUCCUGCGGCUUAACCGCAGGGCUGCCUUCUAAACUGCCAGGCUUGAGCACAGUAGAGGCAGGUGGAAUUCCCGGUGUAGCGGUGGAAUGCGUAGAGAUUGGGAAGAACAUCGGUGGCGAAGGCGGCCUGCUGGGCUGUUGCUGACGCUGAGGCGCGACAGCGUGGGGAGCAAACAGG